CCUACGGGAGGCAGCAGUGGGGAAUAUUGCACAAUGGGGGAAACCCUGAUGCAGCGACGCCGCGGGAGGGAAGAAGGGCCUCGGCGAGUAAAGGCCUGUCAGCAGGAAAGAGAAUGACGGUACCUGAAGAAGAAUCCCCGGCUCACUACGUGCCAGCAGCCGCGGUAAGACGCAGGGGGCAAGCGUUAUCCGGAAUUACCGGGUGUAAAGGGAGCGGAGGCGGGGGGGCAAGUCUGGAGUGAAAGGCCGGGGCCCAACCCCGGGACCGCUCUGGAAACUGCCCGGCUGGAGUGCGGGAGGGGUAAGCGGAAUUCCUAGUGUAGCGGUGAAAUGCGUAGAUAUUAGGAGGAACACC
rnacentral:rRNA from 1 species